rnacentral:miRNA from 1 species
UCAGUCUUUUAGAGAAGAAGUG